AUAAAAUAUAGUAUAUGAAAUAUACAUAAUUAUAUAUUAUAUGAUAUAAUUAUAUAUCAUAUAUGUAUUAUGUAUAUUUCAUAUACAUUAUAUUUUUAUUAUAUAAACAUAAGUAUAUAACUACAUAUUAUAAUAUGUAAUAGUAUAGGCCGGGCGCGGUGGCUCACGCCUGUAAUCCCAGCACUUUGGGAGGCCGAGGCGGGCGGAUCACGAGGUCAGGAGAUCGAGACCAUCCUGGCUAACACGGUGAAACCCCGUCUCUACUAAAAAUACAAAAAAUUAGCCGGGCGUGGUAGUGGGCGCCUGUAGUCCCAGCUACUCGGGAGGCUGAGGCAGGAGAAUGGCGUGAACCCAGGAGGCGGAGCUUGCAGUGAGCCAAGAUCGCGCCACUGCACUCCAGCCUGGGCGACAAAGCAAGACUCCGUCUCAAAAAAAAAAAAAAAAAAAAAAAAUGUAAUAGUAUAAUAUAUAUUAUACAAUGUAUAAUUAUAUAUUAUAUGUAAUAGUAUAAUAUAUAAUAUACAAUGUAUAAUUAUAUAUUAUAAUAUGUAUGACAUACAUAUGUAACAUAUAUUAUAACAUGUAUGUUAUAUAUAACACAUAUAGCAUCUAGAUACCAUGUAUAGCAUGUGUACAUGCAUAUAUAUUUAUGUUAUUCAACAUGGGUCCAGGAAUGGAGUAAGAGAUCAACAAAUACAGUCAUUAAAAUCAGCGAUUCCUCAUUCUUCUCCCAGCUCCUUCUUUAUGAGAUUUUGAAAUCCAUAUGGAUGGAUAAAAAUAUCCCCAAAUGGUGCCUAAUGUUGCAGGGAAGGAAAAUGAAACUCUGGAAAUAAAAUUAGUUCAAGGAGAAGGAGCAUCUCCGCUGUUGACCCAGCUUAACACUAGACUAAGAAUAGAUUGCAAUGGCCCCAACCUCAGGUAUGCAGGAUAAGCCCCUGAAGGCCCUAGAGGGGAACCUGAGAAAGGUUUGAAUGUUUGCAUGUGUGUUUGACAAGCUGGUACCUGGUAGCUGAGAUGUAGAGGAGAAUCAUUGUGCCCUAUGUAGAGACUGGACUAUGUGGACUUUUUCAUAGCUGUAGACAAAGACACGCUGACAGUACCAGAUUGGUUUUCCACCUAAUGGCAGCCUCGGGGACAAGGGAAGGUGAAAAUGGGGCUGCCCAUGAAUGGAUCCGACUCCUCAGGUUUCCAUCAGCCUGAAGUUUGGAAGUGAUCUUUGGAUUAACUGAGUCAGCAGAGUGUUGGACCAUGAGAAGGCAGAUGUGGAGUGAGAUACUGGACUUCUUGGCUCCUGUGAGCAAAGAGGAUGGGCAUGAGAUUAAAUGGAAAAGUAAGAGACGUGACAGUUUCCCAGGUUAAUAACAUGAGUAAUGCCAGUUACAUGCAUGGAAGCUCAUUUAACAACUCUUCAGGGUUGUGUUACUACCCAAACCCUUUAUGAUGAUGAGCAAGCACUGCAGACACUGAUUCCUGCCUGCCCCUCCACUCUGUUUCCUGGUUACCUGGUUACCUGGUUACCUUCUGCCUGAUUCAUUUUGAUCCAGACACACUGGCUUCCGUUCUUUUCCAUGAACAAGCCAAGCUCCUUCCCACCUCUGGGCCUUUGCACAUGCAGUUUCCUCCACCUGGAAUGCUGCUCCCAGAUCUUUUUACAACACAUUUCCUCUCAUCUGUUGAGCCUCACCUUACAUGUUACCCUUUCAGAAAGAUUUUCCCGUUCAUGUCCUCUCCGCUACAUUAUUCUCCCUCCCAUCACCCUCUCUAACAUCAUAGUCCUCACCAUUCCUGAAAUGAUCUUUGUUACUUACUGGGUAGCGUGUUUAGAGGCUGCUUUCCCCACUGGCUCUGUGACAGUGACUUUGUCAUGGUAAGUCAACAUUCUGUUUCCUGUGGCCUGAAGAUUGCCGGGUAUAUACUAAGUGCUCCAAGAAUAUUUGUUGGAAGAUUUAAUGAAUCGUAUCUUACCAAUGCAAUAUUGGAAGCCUAGAGAAAUGAAAUAAUGUUUUCACAAUUGCACAUCUGAUUCGUCAUUCUUCUUCCAGCUCCUUCUGGGAGAAGAAUGAGUAACAGAUGCUUUCAGUGCUUGAGUAACUCAGUUGUUUCACAAUUGAGUAACAGAUACUUUCAGUGCUUCCCUUGUAUCUUCUAACCCUUUACCUCUUAAGCAUCCACUGACCCAUCCAAAUGUAGUUGCAUUCUCUUUCUGAGGACUUUUUCUUUUUCUCUUCUUUUUUUUUUUUUUUGAGAUGGAGUCUCACUCUGUCGCCCAGGCUGAAGUGCAGUGGCGUGAUCUCAGCUCACAGCAAUCUCCGCCUCCCAGGUUCAAGCGAUUCUCCUGCCUCAGCCUCCUGAGUAGCUGGAAUUACAGGCAUGCACCACCAUGCCCAGCUAAUUUUUUUUUUUUUAGUAGAGGUGGGGCUUUGCUAUGUUGGCCAGGCUAAGUCUCGAACUCCUGACCUCAGGUGAUCCACCUGUCUUGGCCUCCCAAAGUGCUGGGAUUACAGGCGUGAGCCACCAUGCCUGGCCCUCUUUCUGAGGUCUUUUUCUGGUUGUAAACUGUCUUUGCCCACCCAUAUGAUGGCUUGGAAGUCUUGGAGGAAUCAACACCUGCCCUGGGAGCAUCCCUCCACCAGGAACUGAUGAGAGUUGGUGUAUGUGGAUAACUACCCCAUCUCCCUCACCCCUUAGGUCAGAUAACUAUGAAGCAAGAGCUGGUAUGUGCAUCUUUCCCCAAGUCCUUGUUCAGGGACAAGGUAGUGUGAAAUCAGCCAUGGUGGGAGGAUUUACACCAUGGAUAUGGGCAGACACUACAAAUCUGGACUUUUAAUAUUUUUCUGCAGUGUUGGUUGUUAAACAUCUACCAGCACAUUGCUAGAGAUGUUCUACACUGUAUCCUAGAGUUUUCCAGCAAGUUUAAGCUCCAGUUAUUGUCCCAAGUGGUAACUUGUUUCCUAAUAUGCCCUUUACUGGCUGCCUCCCUGACCUGUUUCAUUUCCUGUGUCAUGUUUCAUUUACCUCCCACAUAGAUGACUUACUCUUGGAGUCUUGUCUCAGGGUCUGAUUCUUGGGAAACCCCAAUGAAGGCAUACAACUAGUAUGCGAUAAAACCAGCAUUUAAACCUAGGAAGGUCUGACUCCAAAUCCACGUGUAUUUUGCUAAUACUCCACUGCCUCUUGUGUCUGACCUGUUCUUUGCCAAUCCACUGUGACAGGAGUCCUUUAAGGAGUGAGACAAAUGCAUUAUAUUGAUGAAGGUAGCUUGCAAUUAAGAAGUUAGCUUUCUAGGCCAGGCACAGGGGCUCAAGCCUAUAAUCCCACCAUGAUUGGGAGGCCCGGGCAGGAGGAUCACUUGAGGUCAGGAGUUCAAGACCAGCCUGGUCAACAUGGUGAAACCCCAUCUCUACUAAAAUUAUAAAAAUUAGCUGGGCAUGGUGACGCACGCCUGUAAUCCCAGCUACUUGAGAGGCUGAGGCAGGAGCAUCACUUGAAUUCAGGAGGCAGAGGUUGCAGUGAGCCGGGAUCACACCACUGCACUCCAGCCUGGGUGAUAGAGUGAGACUCCAUCGCAAAAAAAAAAAAAAAAAAAGAAGUUACGUUUCUUAUGAUAAGGGAUGGGUUAACUAGAUAAAACGUGGAAAUCUAAUUUAGUUAGUAAAUUAUUUUUUAUUUCAAAAACACUUUUAAAACGUAGACAUGUUUUCCAUAAAACAUGUAGGCACCAAGACAGAUUUGAUUGCUCUCUUGCGAAUGAUCAGCAGCAGGCUUCCAUUUCAUGCUUGUUAUAAUUUACUGUUUAUAGUUCCUAACUCUCUGCUUACACGCUGGUUUGAAUAUUCAAGGGUCUCACCAAGUGGUGAGGCACUAGACGCAAUGAUGAUGUUGGGUGCAAAUGAAUAGGGCUUCAGCUGGAAAGGGGCAAGGGGCAGACUGGAAAGAGCUUAGGCUUUAGACCUCUGUACUGGUCAGGACACUUUGGUUCACAAGGGGGAGAAACUCAGUGCAAGCUAGCCUAGGCAGAAAAGAAAAAAGAAGUUAAUGCCUGGGGAAAUUGGAAGGUUCAAGGAUGUGGAGUUAGCUUCAGGUAUGGCUUGAUCAAGGAUUACUCGCUAAUAAAGCCUCUCUCCUUCACUAGAAUAGAAGCUCUGUAAAGACAGGCACCUUGUCUGCCCUAUUCAUAGCUUCAUCCUCCAUCAUAUAGAAUAAUGCCUGGCACACAGUGAUAAUAAAAAUUAUAGAGCAUGUCAUAUGGGCAUGCCACUGUUCUUAGUUUAUCCACUUAACCCAAUGAGGUAGGCAAUUAUUAAUUAUAAUCCCCAUUUUUCUGGAUGGAGAAACCAAGGCACUGAGAAGUCAUUUAGCUGAUAAGCAGGGUAACUGGGAUUUGAACCUAGGACCUCUUGCUCCAGAGUCUGUGCUCAUAACCAUGCUGCUAUAUUAACUCAGUAAGUAGUUGUUGAUUGAGUGAAUGAAUAACUGACUAAUGAUGAAACUUGCCAGACACAGAGUAUUCAGUAACUAGGAGUGCUGACAUUUAUUUGAGUGGCCUCUGUUUUCUGUGUCCCAUUAGCUUUGGGUGCUGGUGUCUUCAUCUGCAGGAUUCCAUAUAUUUAGCCCAGAUCAAUGGAGUGCUGGAGGGUCAGGAUGAGUCGUGUUCAAGAAAAUAAGGUUGGAGUUAUUUGUAGAAUUUUUUUUUUUUUUUUUUUUUUUUUUGAGACAGAGUCUCGCUCUGUCACCCAGGCUGGAGUGCAAUGGUGUGAUCUCGGCUCACUGCAACCUCUGCCUCCCAGGUUCAAGUGAUUCUCAUGCCUCAGCCUCCCAAGUAGCUGGGAUUACAGGUACCCACCACCAUGCUUGGCUAAUUUUUGUAUUUUUAGUAGAGAUGGGGUUUCUCCAUGUUGACCAGGCUGGUGUCGAACUCCUGACCUCAAGUGAUCCACUGGCCUUGGCCUCCCAAUGUGCUGGGAUUACAGGUGUGAGACACCACACCCAGUCUGAAAUUUUGUUUUAAGUUCCUGAGAUCCAGGGGUUGUUUGUUACUGCAGCAUAGUCUAAUCCAUCCUGUGUAGAAGCCCUUACUUACUUAGGAUGUGUCAUUGAGUUCAGAGAGAGGCAGUAGAGGAAAGGGCCCAGACUUUAAAAUCAGAGAGAUGAAAUUCCAACUCUCCACUCACUAGCUGUGUGACCUUGGGUAAGUUCCUUAACCUCUCUGAGCCUCACUCUGCAUUCUCACUAGUGAAAUUACAACUGUAAUUGCUACUCCAUGAAAUUGCUUUGACUACUAAAAUAGGAAACCCUGUCAAGGGCAUAACAUAGUAGGUGUUGAUGAAUGUUGGCUAUUACUUUUGCUAUUAUGUAGCAAAGCAUAGAUUACUUUGGCUAUUUUGAAAAAACCUGUUGCUAUCAAUUAAGGAUAGAGUGGCUAAAUUAAGUAAAUUCUGUAAGCAAACAAGGAUGGGUCUUUAAUUCUCCUCCACUUUCGAUUUAUGGCUGAAGAUUUGACAGUUAUCUGCAGUCUGACUAGCUUGAAAACCAAGACAUCUGUGAUUAGACUUACCUUUUGUUCGUCCCAUUAGUGUAAUUCAUUGUUUUAGGACAUCUCUGCUAACCCACUCCCCCAAUAUCCAUCUAGCUUGGAGCCUUUAUGGCCCUCAUAAGGACCCGGCUUCCCCCUUGGUCUUUAAAAUUAGACAACAGAUGUUCAUAAUCGAACCUGUCUUGGUUCCAGAAAGUCUGAGAUGUUCAGAAAUAAUCAGAACGUCUCUAUAAAUAUCAUAAAGGAUAUAUCAUUUUGGCAGAACCAGAUCCAGUUUUUGUGGGGACUGAAGCUUAUAUAAUAUGGGGAUCUCUGUUUAAGAAAAAGAAUACAAAAUUAUGAAGUUAAAAUUAGGCACAAAAGAGAAUGUUAUUUUGGAAUGAAAAGUUAAGUAUAAUAUUCCUGUAUUAUUUUGAGACAGCCUCUUGUUCUGUUACCCGGGCUGGAGUGCAGUGGUAAGUCGUAGCUCACUGCAGCCUUUAACUCCUAGAUUCAAGGGAUCCUCCCAUCUCCGCCUCCCAAGUAGCUGGGACCACAGGCAGGUGCCUUCAUGCCCGGCUAAUUUUUAAAUUAUUGGUAGAGAUGAGGUUUCCGUAUGUUGCCCAGGCUGGUCUCUAACUCCUGAGCUCAAUCGAUCCUCCUGCCUCAGCCUCCCAAAGUGCUGGGAUGAUAGGUGUGAGCCACUGCACCUGGCUGAGGCCUUGUUUUCUUGCUGGCUAUCAGCUGGGGACCUCUAUCAGCUUCUAGAGGCCACCUGCAUUCUUUGACAUGGCCCUGUCAUAACAUGGUAGCUUACUUCCUCCUAGCCAGCAAGGGAGUCCCUAAGUCUCCUAAGGGGAAAUCUUAUUUGAUGAAACAUGAUCAAGGGAGUGACAUUCGGCACCUUUGCCAUAUUCUAUUGAUUAGAAGCAGGUCACAAGUUCCAUUCUCUCUCAAGCGGGGAGGCUUGUACAAGGGAGUCACCUUAGCUGUGUGCAAUCAGGAAUACAGCCCAGAGGCCAUGCCUGACAGUUAAGAGGAGUCAGUAUGAUCACGCUGAUCAGUAUGAAGUGGGUUAGGCAGCUGCCAGUGCUAAAUUCUCUUUGGGAGUUUUCCAAGAACCAGCCCUACCCAUGCGUAUCUCUCUGGGUAAACCUCCUGCGACUUGGGAGUCACCUUAGCUGUGAGAACCGUUUUUGGAACUUACCAGCAAAAAUGACAGCCCAGGGUAUUCCAGGCAGCUGCUUCUCCAGCUCCAGGCAAAUGAUUUUGGCCCUGUCUUGCAACAGAAAUGGAAUCAUUUCGAGGGGAUGGUCUCCUCGCUCUGGAUCCAGCAGCAGCAGAUGCUCCAGCCGAAGACAUGUGUCCAUUCUGAGCAAGGUUGAGAGAAUCAAAUUAUUUUAUGACCCAAGGCAAGCUUGAAAUUGGCUCUUCCGAGAUGAAAAAGGAGAGGCAGGAGAGGCUUGCCUGGCUCCCUACUCUCCUUCUCCUCCCGCCUCCACCUCCUUCCCAGCAGGGCUCCAGCAAUUUAACUGGGGUGGGAUUCUUUCCACCGAGCAAGGCAGUCUGUCACGCCCCGCUGCAGUAGGGGCCAUGCCAGAGACAGCUUUUCGAAGCGGCAUCUGUGGGCAUACAUUUGGGCAACCCCACUAGGCUGGCAAGCCCUGGUCGAUUUUUAGUGACCUCUUAGAAGUAGGUGGCAGGCACUGUCAGCCGUGCCGGAAGUGGGAGAGAGCAGAAGGGGUCAAAGACAAGCCUCGGCUGGGAAGAGCAUCUUUGUGGUCCUGUAAUUGAUGAUUGGGGUGGGGAGCAUUGAAACGUUUCCCCUGAAUCACAGCCUUCAGUGAGAAUGGCUUUGCCUUCUGUGUGGACGGUGUGUUGAGAGUAGGAUAACCAUAUGUCCUCAUUUGCUGCAACAGUCCCUGUUACGACUGCUUUCCUGGUUUUGCCUGUCUCGAAAGCAUUCUGGUUUGGGCGAUAACUUACAAGGUCAUCCUAAUUCUGGGUUUCACAGUCUCAGCACUGUGGACAUUUUGGGCUGGAUAAUCCUUUGGGUGAGGGUUGUCCUGUGCACUGUAAGGUGUUUAGCAGCAUCCCUAGGCUCUGCCCACUAGAUGCCAGUAGCACAACCCCCUGCCCCAUUGUCAUUGCCAAAUGUCCCCUGAGGGGAGGAGGAGGAAUCACCCCUGGUUGAGAACCAUGGCCCUUUUUUAAGGGCACUGUUGAAUCCUUCCUUCUGAUACCAUCUGGGGGUAACUUGAGAACUUGGUUCAUGUUCUGGAAGGAAAAACUCCACAUAGUGCUUCUGGGUUCAUUUAACCUAUGUAAGCUGCGUUUUUCUGUUUCUUAGACCAGUAUCUCACUUUUUGGGGGGAGAGGUGGGACCUCUCCUCCAUUCUCAGCCCAUGUGUUUUGGGUGACUCGAGAGACUGGGUUUGGCAGAUGGGAGAAUGCCAUUCUCCUGGCUGUUGUGAUUGAUUCAGAAACCUGCCUUUAAGGUGGUUCAAAGAGCAUCAGUGGCAGGACUUCUGUUAGGUGGAUAGGGAAAGAGGGGUUCUCUUUUUGCUGGGGUUGCAAACCUGGUAGGGUGGAAACCGGGAGCUGCUGGUGGUCAUCUCAUCACCCUGGGGGAGAGCCUGCCUGAGAAGGAAAUCACAGGAGAGCCGAGCUGAGAGAGGAGAAGGAAAGCCGAUCAAACUGCCUAACAGCCUGUAUCCCCUCCAACCUGAUGACAGAUCUCACCUAGAGUGAAUUUCUCAGUGAAGCUAGUUUGACUUGAGUUUCUGUCAACUUGCAACUCAAAAAGGCCAUGUGUUGCCAUGAGGUAUUUCUCUGUUCCCUUUCCUAAUCUAGAGAUUAGGUAGCUUUAAUUCUGCUAAUGCUGAGUUUUGUCUCAUCAAAUGGAAACAUCACAGAAGUCUCUGAUCUUGCCCCAUCAACCCUUCCCAUUACCUCUAGGGCUCAGCCAAUGCUGCUGGUAUCUUUUGCUUCAUUUUUUCUUUUCUUUUCUUUUCUUUUGUUUGUUUGUUUCUUUUUUUUUCUGAGGCAGGGACUUGCUCUGUCACCCAGGCUGAAGUGCAGUGGUGUGAUCACGGCUUACUGCAGCCUCAACCUCCUGGGCUCAAGUGAUCCUCCCACCUCAGCCUCCUGAGCAUAGGUGCACACCACCAUGCCUGGCUAGUUUUUUAAAUUUUGUUUGUAGAGAGGGGAGUCUUACUCGAUCAUUCAGGCUGGUCUCAAACUCCUGGGCUCCAGCAAUCCUCCCACCUUGAUCUCCCGAAGUGUUAGGAUUACAGGUGUGAGCCACUGCAUCUGGCUGCCUCAUUUUUCUUAAUCUUUCAAGACUCUGUAGAAAUAAUACCUACUCCUUUUCAUUCCUCCUUAUCUCCUGUCUUCCUUUCCAACACUAUAGCCCUCUUUUCAUUAUUACCCACAUUUACAAAAGGUCCUUGUAACUUAAUGGCAUACCCAGACAGAAAUAAUGUUCUCUGGGUUAAUUAUCUAGUUUGCCACAAUCUCCUGUACCAGAUUCUACCCAGCCUGCUCUGAUUAUAAAGGGGACUAUUGAGAAAUAGCUGCAAAAAUGCACCAAACCAUAAGAAUUCCCAUUCCAAGACCCAGAGCAGAUGGCUUUUGGAUUAUUCCCUUCUCUUUUUCUGUCAUAUGUUUACAUAAUUGAGUUCAUCAUCUAUAUGAAGUCUUACAUACAUUUAUUUUUAUAAAGAUAUAAAAUUAUACAAUCACCCCAAUUAAAAGGCAUGAACAUUAUUUUAAUAAUUGGAGGAAGAUUUCAUUGUACGAACAUAGUGUAAUUUCAAAAACAUUUUUCUGUUGGUUGACACUUCAUUUUUUACCAUUUGCAAUAAUGUGAUGGCUUCCUUGGGCACACAUCUUUGUCCUCAACUGGAUGUACUCCCCUAAAAUAAAUUUCUAGGAGUGGACCUUCUGGGUCAAAGUGAGUGAGUAUUUGUCAGGCUCUUGAUACAUAUUGCCAAAUGACCUUCCAGAAAAAUUGUGCCUGUUUACAUGCCUACCAGUGGCAUGGAAGGGUCAGAUGUCAGAAUCAUGAUUGCAAUUAUUGAUAAAGAUCCAGCUAGUUCCAGUUUUGCCAACAAUAUUAACACCACCAGCACGUCCACCAGUAAUAAUAAUAACAAUAAUGGUAUGAUAAAUAAAAUAGGUGAUAUGGUUUGGCUGUGUGUCUCCACCCAAAUCUCGUCUUGAAUUAUAAUCACCAGGUGUCGCGUCGAGGGAGGGAGCUGUAAGCCCCACGUGUCGAAGGAGGGAUGUGAUUGGCUCAUGGGUGCGGCUUCUCCCAUGCUGGUCUCAUGAUAGUGAGUGAGUUCUCAUGAGAUCUGAUGGUUUUAAACGUGGCAGUUUUUUCCCGUGCUCUCACUUCUCCCUCCUGUCGCCUUGUGAAGAUGUCUGCUUCUCCUUCUGUCAUGAUUGUAAGUUUCCUGAGGCCUCCCCAGCCAUGCAGACCUGUUGUGAGUCAAUUAAACCCCUUUUCUUUAUCAAUUACCCAUUCUCGGCCAGUUGUUUAUAGCAGUGUGAGAAUGGACUAAUACAAUCGACUUCUUGGGAGCUUGUAAUAUUCUAGCUAUGUUACUAAAAAUUUCACACGUUAUUUCAUUUAGUCCAUCCAGUAACCUAGAGAUGAGGUAUUAUUAUAAUUCCCCCAUUUACAAAAUAGGAUAAUAAGGUACAAAGAGGUUAAGCAUCUUGCCUAAUGACCACAGCCAGUAAAUGGUGGAUCUUAGAUUUGAUGCCAGGCAUCUGACUUCUUCAAGCAUUGUUUACUGUUUUAGUAUGACGGAGAUGACUAGUUGGAUGUAAGUCCACCUGAAUGGCUAGCUUUACUGUGUACAGCUCACCAAAGAUCUACCUGGAGGAAAAACAUUGCUAUACAUUGCAAAUAAUAGCCAGGGCUCUGGUAUUAAUGUUUCCCAGUCUCUCCCUCCUAAGGACAUUGUCACCCUCCCAGCCAGGUGUGUGGUAGAAGGAAACGACUCUCUCCUGAUGCUAUGAAUUCCAAAGAAUUCCCAUUAACCAUAUUUCUAAGCCAGUUUGCUUUCUUUCAAUGUGCGCUUUCUGCGAAAUGCCAUCUGCACUUGUUUCCUGGGGAAACCAUCUCUCUGAGGUGGGUAAGUUCUCCUUGUGAAGAUGGGGACUUGCCUAAUGUUUGGCAUUCCCUUUUUGGGGGCACGUACAGUGAUUUCUGAACUGACUUGAAAGGCCAUUAACUUGGUUUUUACUGCCUUUUCUGGCUUGCAAAUUUAAUGCCUGGCUCCCAACAUGUGUGAAUGGACAAACAGCAUCAGCAUCAUCUGGGAACUUGCUAGAAAUAAAAAUUCUCAGGCUUUACCCUAGACUUACAGAACCAGCAACUCUGAGGGUAGGUUCCAGAAGUCUGUGAGUUUACAAAUCUUCCAGGUGAUUCUGAUCCGUGCUCAAGUUGGAUCUACUGCUCUAAACCUUAGUUUCUUCCUUUAUAAAAUAAUAGUAGUAGUAGCUGUAGCAGUAAUAACAAUAUUGGCUUCAUGGUUAUAGGGGGAAUUCCAUGAGUAAUUUGAGUCCUUGGCACUGUGCUUGGCAUACAGUAGGUGCUUAAUAAGUGGUAGUUGGCAUCACUAUCUCUGAACUGUGAAGGUCGCUGUGCUUAACCUACGUAGUAUUUAUCAGCCCCGCAUCCCACUGCGUUCAGGGAUGGCCCUUCUCCUGCCUGUGGGUCUGGUGGGACCACUCUGCAGAAUUUCUUAUGCCCAGAUCUUCUAUCAUGGUGUGACAAAAGCAUGGCCCAUCAAAUGCUUGCCUUCUGGGAAUUUGCGUCUUAAGGAGAGAUCAUCAAGGAUGUAGAGUGAUUAGAGUCCAGUCAUUCCACGACCCUGCAGCCUAGUGCUUCUCAACCUUUAAUCUGCUUAACGCUAACUGGAGGAUCUUGUUCGAGGGCAGAUUCUGACUCGAAAGGUCUGGGGUGGUUCUGAGAGAGAGUCUGCAUUUCUGACGAGCUCUACUGGAGAUGGUGAUGCCAGUACUGCUGGUUUCUGGACUCACGGUGCAGUUGCAUCCCGAGAGUAGUGAAUCUCAUUUUUCAACCUCACCUUAGAAUCACCUAGGGGAGGUGUGAAACAAGACAGACCUGAGCCGGUUAAAUCUUAGUUUCUUUCCUUUUUGCCUUGCCUUGCUCUGCCUUGCCCUGCCUUGCCCUGCCAGGGUCUCACUCUGUCAUCUAGGCUGGAGUGCAGUGGUACAAUCUCGGCUCACUGCAAUCUCCACCUCCUGGGCUCAAGCUAUCCUUUUGCCUCAGUCUCCUGAGUAGCUGGGACUACAGGCAUGCGCCACCACACCCAGCUAAUUUUUGUAUUUUUAGUAGAGAUGAGGUUUUGCCAUGUUUCCCAGGCUGGUCUUGAACUCCCGGGCUCAAGUGAUCUGCCUGCCUUGGCCUCCCACAGUGUUGGAAUUACAGGCAUAAGCCACCGUGCCCGGCUUAAGUCUCAAUUUCUGAAGGUGAGGGCCCAGCAUCAGUGGUUUCUAAAAGUCUCUUUGGUUGACUGUUGGCUGCAGUGAGGGUUGAGAUCCACCACCAUACAAAGAUGGUCCAACUGGAACCCCCUCAAGUCUGGGAACUCUAUUCUUUCUCUAAUCCUGUAAGCUCCCUGCUUUUUAAUGUAAAGAUUUGGUUCUGUUGGCUGGGCAUGGUGGCUCAUGCCUGUAAUCCCAGCACUUUGGGAGGCCAAGGUGGGCAGAUUACGAGGUCAGGAGUUCGAGACCAGCCUGGCCAAUAUGGUGAAACUCCGUCUCUACUAAAAAUACAAAAAUUAGCUGGGCAUGGUGACGUGCGCCUGUACUCCCAGCUACUCAGGAGGCUGAGGGAGAAGAAUCACUUGAACCCAGGAGGCAGAGCUUGCAGUGAGCCGAGAUCGUGCACUACACUCCAGCCUGGGCGACAGAGUGAGACUUUGUCUCAAAAAAAAAAAAAAAAAAAAAAAAGAUUUGGUUCUGUUGCUUGCAAACUAAGAACCUUAACUGGUAGAGCCUCAGAAAUGAGAAGAGAGUCAAGGUGAGUGUUCAUUGCCUCUGGGCUCUCCAGCUGCAGAUCCUCUUGCUUCUCUGUGCUUCUCUUUGGGAUGACACCACAGAGACAUUAAACCUUUUGGAGGGCCUGUACAGUAAUUUCUGAACCAACUUGAAAAGCCGUAAACUUGGUUUUUCCUGCCUUUUCUGGCUUGCAAAUUUAAUGCCUGGCUCCCAACAUGUGUGAAUGGACAAAUAAAAGAGGAACUGUCCCUUCCUCUCUUUGCCCCCAUCAAGGGCCACCUGAGAGACUGUAUCUCUCUAGGAUCACUUAGCUCUUUCCUCAGUCCCAGGUCUGGAUUUUGCGGGUGACAGCUUCACCAGUAUGUGACAAGCCAUGCCAGGUGACCAGAGUGUGAACCAGCCUGCUCACCUGUCAGGUGGUGGUAAUGAAAACCGAUGGACCUGGUGCGGUGGCUCAACACCUGUAAUCCUAACACUUUGGGAGUCUGAGGUGGGAGGAUCACGAGGUCAGGAGUUCAAGACCAGCCUGGCCAAUAUGGUGAGGGCCUGAAGUAGUGGGAACAGAGGGUGACUGAGGCAGAGUCAGCCUUAAAAGAUCAGUCGCUAAAAAGGACUUCAACUGCCUGCCUUUGGGGAGAGGGAUUUGAUGGGAGAAGGGCUGGGGUAAGACAGCUUUGUUUUCCAUUUCAAGUCAUUUGUAUCAUUUGCUUGUACUGCUUUGAUAAAGAGAAAUCUGAAAUUCUAGAAAAAAUUAGAAGCGAAAAAAAAUUCCUUUAUAGCCAUGAGCAGAACUGUUAACAAUAGCAGCCGGGUAUGGUGGCUCACGCCUGUAAUCUCAGCACUUUGGGAGGCCGAGGUGGGUGGAUCACCUGAGGUCAGGAGUUCAAGACCAGACUGGCCAACAUGGCAAAACCCCGUCUCUACUAAAAAUACAAAAAUUGCCGGGCGUGGUGGUGGGUGCCUGUAAUGCCAGCUACUCAGGAGACUGAGUAUGGAGAAACACUUGAAUCCAGGAGGCGGAGGUUGCAGUGAGCUGAGAGCGCUCCAUUGUACUCCAGCCUGGGUGACAGGAGUGAAACUCUAUCUCUAAACAAACAAACAAAAAGCAAUAGCAAUAGCAAUAGUAAUGAUACUAACUUAUAUUGAUGUGCUAGAUUUUAUCCAUGUCACCUCAUUCACCUUUAGUUCUCACUACAACCUUGGGUGACAAACUUGUGUUGGCUUUAGCACUUUACUGGAUUUGACACUGAGCGUUCCCUAUACCUGGAACCACUUCGGUCCUAGAUAAACCAAAGAGGAUGGCUGCUCACCCUACUACAGCCCCAGAGGCAGCUGCUAUUAACCAAUGCAUGCUGCAGGGGAGGAAACUGAGACCCUGAGAACUUCUGUAACUCACAUCAUGGUCACACAGCUAGUUAGUGGUAGAAACAAGUUACAUACCGACUCGGUGGUGGACACAAUUAAGGGUCCCACAGCCAGUUAGUUGUAGAAACAGUUAAGAGUCACACAGCUAGUCAGUGGUUGACAUAGUUAAGGGUUGUGCAGCUAGUCAGUGGUAGAUACUGUUAGUUAAGGGUCACAUUGGUAGUCAGUGGUGGACACAGUUAAGGGUCACACAGUUAGUGAUAGAUUUAAGGGUUACACAGCUAGUUAGUGGUAGAUACAGUUAGUUAAGGGUUACACAGCUAGUUAGUGGUAGACACAGUUAAGGGUCACACAGCUAGUCAAUGGUAGACAGUUAAAAGACACACGGAUAGUUUAAGACACAUGGAUAGUUUAGUGGUAGAUACAGUUAGUUAAGGGCCACACAUCUAGUCAGUGGCAGGUAUAUUUAGUUAAAGGUCACAAAGCUAGUCAGUGGUAGGUACAGCUAGUUAAGGGUCACAAAGCUAGUCAGUGGUAGGUACAGUUAGUUAGGGUUUACACAGCUAGUCAGUGGCAGACAGUUAAGGGUCACAAGACUAGUCAAUGGUAGACACAAUUAAAAGACACAUGGAUAGUUUAGUGGUUGAUACAGUUAGUGAAGGGUCACACGGCUAGUCAGUAGUAGGUACAGUUAGUGAAGGGUCACAAGACUAGUCAAUGGUAGACACAAUUAAAAGACACAUGGAUAGUUUAGUGGUUGAUACAGUUAGUGAAGGGUCACACGGCUAGUCAGUAGUAGGUACAGUUAGUGAAGGGUCACACAGCCAGUCAGUGGUAGGUAUAGUUAGUUAAGGGUCACACGGCUAGUCAGUGGUAGGUACAGUUAGUUAAGGGUCACACAGCUAGUCAGUGGUAGAUACAGUUGGUGAGCCAUCUCAUCACUCGUUUAGUAGUAGAGCUUGGAUUGGAACCAGGUAGGGCUCUGUCUGUUACAUCACGUCACAUGGAGUCUCAGAGCUGAAAGGACUUUAGGGUCGCCAUGUCUAAUCCCCUUGUUUGUAGAUGGGGAAACUUGCCUGAGUGGUGGAAUGCCCUACCCAAGGUCGCAUGGUGAGUUUUGGGCUUCUAAGAGACCACUGGAGGAAGUCAGGGAGACAUGCCCUGGCAGGGACCCGUCGGAAGGCCUGCCAAUUGGCUUUGAGAGGAGCGCGUCUUGCAUCUCCCAGGAAGGAUUGGCAGAGGGAGGGCGGGCGUCUCGGGCCGGGGGCUGGUGCCCAGGGCUGGGGCUGAGGGGAGGGGGAGGCUGCUUCUCUUUGUAAUUUACAUACACAGCAGCAACAGCCUGGGGGUAAACAACCCAAACAAACUCUCAAAGGAUGUUUUGGACUUAAUCCCGGGAUCGGAAGCAGCUCGGUAAGAUAAAUAAGAUAAAGUUGGUGUGCCUCUUAAGGUUGAACGAUCAUAUCACUAUUGCAUUUGAAAUAUUCAUGAGGGGAAGGGAGGUAUGAGAAACAGCUACAGAAACAUAUUCUGCUUUGAAAAGGCAGAAUUCAAAGGCAUGAAAAAUGAAUCAGGGGAAAUUAAUGUCGAGGUUGGGAGGGGCGUGGGCUGGUGGGGGGACAAUUAUUGCCCAGAAGGAAUAAGGAAAGAGAUGUGGAGGAGAUGUUUCAGACUGGGCUGUGAGCAGAAUUCUGUAUCCUGCCUGGAAUAUUUGAAAUGUCAAUUGUCUCAUACAUCAUUUGAAAUCAACACUUGGUCGCAAAAUGGAUGAUUCUAGCAAGGAUUAAAAAGCAGGGUGGGCUGGGGGAUAUGGGAUGGGGAGGGUGGAGUGGGGUGGGGCAGGGAGAUGGAAAAAGAUGGGUAAAGUGAACUAAGUCCUAUAAAUUGUGGACGAAUUACUGAUCACUCAAAGAGGGCUCUGGAGGAGUAAGAUGCAAAGAAACGGGAAUUUCUUGUGAUUUCUUGCAAGUCUCUCAGUCUUGGUUUCUCCCUUUAUAAAGCCAGGAGGUUGGGCUGGAUGUUCUCCUAGAUUGUCCCACUUUGCAUUGUGGAGGGGGUGGGGCUCUGAUUUGGAGAUGUACUUGGAAAUUGAGGGUUCCUUAAGGCAAGAUGGUCAAGGGUAUUGACGAACGGUAGGAAUACAGACAUGAUGCUUGUGGUUAACGGUGGCUCUCAGCAGAGCCCUGCAAGUCUACACCGUGUUAGGGAGGCCAGUGGGGUUUGGCCCCCUUUAAAAGCAAGCCCUUAGACUGUGGACUGGUGCAGUCAUUCUAGAGAGAUCUGAUACUAAAGCAAAUGAAGGCUGCAUAUUCUCUGUGGUCCCAGACCAGCAGCAUCAGCAUCACCUGGGAGCUUGUUAGAAAUGGAAAUUCUCGAGUCUCCUUCCAGACUUCUUGAGUCAAAAUCUGCCUUUUAACAAGAUCCCUGGGUGAGUCAUGUGCAUAUUAAAGACUGAGCAGCAGCAAUUCCCCUCCUGGAUUUAUACCCCAGAGAAAGUUUCACCCAAGGAUGUUCAAGGAGGUGGGUUUGUGGUAGCGGGGUAUUGGAAGCCACUGCUGUGCGCAUCAGAAGGGGACAGAUAAGCAAAGCAGGACAGAUACUCACUGUGGGAUAUGACUGCGGUAGUUAGAAAAACAGGUCUGAUCUUCACAUGCCAGUAUGGACGGAUCUUUUAUUGAUUUUAUUUAUUUACUUAUUUUGAGAUGGAGUCUCACUCUGUUGCCCAGGCUGGGGUGCAAUGGUGCAAUCUCGGCUCACUGCAACCUCCGCCUCCUGGGUUCCAGCAAUUCUCCUGCCUCAGCCUCCCGAGUAGCUGGGAUUACAGGCGCCCGCCACCAUACCUGGCUAAUGUUGUAUUUUUAGUAGAGACAGGGUUUCACCAUAUUGGCCAGGCUGGUCUCGAACUCCUGACCACAGGUGAUCCGCCCACCUCAGCCUCCCAAAGUGCUGGGAUUACAUGCGUGAGCCACUGUGCCCGGCCUGGAUGGAUCUUAAAAACAAAGCACAAGGGGAAAAAAAGUGAGCAACAGAAUCAAUUUAUAGCAAGUGUCUUUGUUUGUGCUGCUAUAAAGGAACACCUGAGGCUGGAUAAUUUACAAAGAAAAAAGUUUAUUUGGCUCAUCAUUCUGCAAGAAUCAUGGCACCAACAUCUGCUUCUGAUGAGGGCUUCAGGAAGCUUCCACUCAUGGCAGAAGUGAAGAGGAACUGGUGUGUGCAGAUCACAUGCUCUCCCCCAGUCAUUCAAAGACACUGUGACCAGCUGGCCAGGUGACAAGAAGUCCUAGGGCACAAGCCUGAAGCCUUCGGGAGAAAUUUCAGCUUUACAGGGGGCAGAAUGUUUGGUAACUAUUUAGAUUUAAAGCAGAAGCACUUUGGAUUGAGCAAUUUCAUAUGUGACAACUGUCUUUGCCACAAGCAACAGCAGAGACCUGCAGAUGAGAACACCUUUAUGAAGAGCAAGACCAUGCUUUGAAGUUGGACAGAGAUCUUGGUUCAAAUCCUGCCUCUGCCGCUUGUUAGCUAAGUCACUUCAGAAAGUCUGUACCUCCCCGAGGACAUCUCAUGCCCACAGCAGCCCAGCAGUGAGUCCUCACCAACCCAGACUGACUUUCCAGCCUCAUAUCCUCAAAGGAUCUGACAUUUUCCAGCCACCAACCUUGGUUUGCACCAUGCCCUUCAUCAAAAAUGUCUUUGCUUCUCUUUGAUGCCUGGGUAUCUAUUCCUUUAGAACCCAUUUCAAAUUUCUCCUCCUUAAAGAUGCCGUUGGUCACUGUUCCAAUCUGUAGGAUACUCUGUUUUGCCCAGAUCCCUUCUGCACUGCCUUCUGGGACUCAGAUACAGAGGGGGCAAAACAUCCCGGAAGGGGUGGGGCCCAUGGACUGCUCUUGGAGUGGGGACAGAGAUCACCACGAGAUGGCGCUAUUGAGCCAUCACUGUCAAUUGGUUUUUCUCUGUUUUCAUUUUCUUACUUGAUGAGAAAUGUGUGAUUUCCAAAUAGUCCCAGAAGGAAUAGAACUGUGACUGUGUCCCGCCACUAAAAAGGUGGUUUUGCAUAUCUCUGAUCGUCCUAUCGCAUCGCCCACUGUUAAAAAUUCCAUCCCCACACCCAGGGGAUUUAGAAGGAGAAUAUCACACACUUGCCACCACCCCCAAUCCAUGCAAAUACCUUGGUACUUGCUAUAGACACUUGGUACACAAAUACUGCCUCAGCCUUUUAUUAAAUUAUAUUUUAUAUAUUGCAUCAGAGUAUUAAGCCCUUAGGGGUAGGACCUGGGGUCCAUGCCAACUUACUAGAACGGUGUUGACUUCUCUAGGAUAUGGAAUCCACACAGCUCCUUGGAAAGCUGGAAAAUGCAGUUUUGAAGCAACCUGCUUCAUUUCCACACCAAUGGAAAGGAAAGUGAUAAAUCCUUUAUGGCCAAUAGUCAGCUCUGUUUAUUUCUUCCUGGAAAUGCUAUUGAUGGUGGCUGGAAGUUGUUUGUUUUUUAAUCUUUCCCUUGGCAAGGUCUCCUUACUCAUAGCCCUUCCUUAUGUUCCCCAAAUGGUGCAGGGGGCAGUGUUCAGAAGCCCAGUAUGCAGGUCUUGCACAGAGGAGAAUUAUGGCUUAAAGAAACUUGGCUAAGCGCGGUGGCUCACACCUGUAAUCCCAGCACUUUGGGUAGGCCAAGGCAGGCAGAUCGCUUGAGUCCAGGAGUUUGAGACCAGCCUGGGCAACCUGAUGAGACCCCAUCUCUACAAAAAAUUAGCCAGGGAUGGUGGUGCAUGCCUGUAGUCCCAGCUACUCGGGAGGCUGAAAUGGGAAAACUGCCUGAGUCCAAAAGGUGGAUACUAAAGUGAGCCAAGAUUGUGCCACUGUACUCCAGUCUAGGUGAUAGGGUGAGACCCUGUCUCAAAAAAAACAAAACAAAAUAAAAACCAACAACAGAAAAAGAAACUUGGGUGGGAUCAUGUGUCCAGGCCUCAGCACUGUUGUCCGUUACUCUAACUCCUGCAGAGAGGUCCUUGAACAGAUGUAAGCGGACACACCUUGAAGUCAAGGUGCUCUUUGCAAAGCAACACAAUGUUAUUGACAUAUUCCAUUUGAAUAACCAAAUUUUGUAGUUGAUUGUGCGCUAAGGUGGAUACGCAUUACAUUAUGUUCUUAUGUAGGGAAGUAGAAGUUAGUGCCAAGAUUUAAAGAAAAAUCAGUGGGGAAAAUAACAGUUGAAUCUUAUUUGUUUAAAAACUUAGGAUUUAUUUAUUCUUCUGUCCACCCAUUCAUAUAUACAUUUAACAAAAGUAUUUGAAAUUAGUUUCAUAUUGCUAUUUAUUUUAAAAAUAGGUAUUAUACACAUAUGGCUCAAAAUUGGAAAGAUACAAGAGUGUAUAGUAAAAGGUAGUUUCCACUCCCAUCCUUGUCCUAACCAGUUUGUUUCUUCACAGAAAUGGCAACCACUAUUGAUAGUUUUCUAUGUUCCCCUUGAGAAAUAUUCUAUAUUGUAAAUGUAUAUUCAUCUAUUCAUUUAUUCACCCAUCUAUCCAUUUAUUCAUCUACCCAUCCAUUUAUUGUCUAGCCACCUAUCCAUAGAUGGAUCCAUUUAUGCAUCCAUCAAUUUAUUCAUCUAUUUACCCAUCCAUCCAUUCAUCCAUUUAUCCAUCCAUCUAUUUACUUUCCAUUAAUCUAUCCAUUCUUUCAUCCACUUAUCCAUCCAUCUAUCCAUCCACUUUGCAUUCAUCUGUCCAUUCAUUCAUCCAUCCAUUUAUCCAUUCAUUCAUCUAUUCAUCCAUCUAUUCAUUUACUUAACCAUUUAUCCAUCCAUCCAUCCACACACACAUCCAUUUAUCCAUCCAUCCAUCUAUUCACUCAUCCGUCCAUUUAUCCAUCUAAUCCAUUCAUUAAUCCAUUUACCCAUCUAUGUCAUUUUUUUCCAGGAAGAGGAAAAGGGCAGCCAUUAUUUGGUUUUAGAUGGUAGACCAAAUUUGUGCUACUGUUCCACAGGAAAAGAGAUUUGGAACCACUCCUUGGUGUUAAGCCAGCCACUCCAAAGCUGUAGUGUUGCAAUGUCAUACAUCUGUCAGGGAAGCCUGAACAUUUUAAAAACAAUUGGGUAUGGCUAUUCAGAUUUUAUUUUGGCCCAGCAUAAUGAGUUUGUGUUUGAUUCUGAAGGAGAGGGAGAUUUGUAAUAAAUCAGCAAGUGAAAUUAAAAGUGAGCCAGUGAGGUGCCAUAAAAGGGUGGUUGGAAUCAGACAUUCUCAAAUCCAUAUCCUAUCCCCACCCAUGUUAAAAGCUAUAUAGGAGGUUAUUUAGCUUCUUGGGAGUCUCAAUUUUCCUCUUAUGUUCUGAGAUGGGGAUAAUUGUAUUUUUCUUUGCAGGUUAAAGGCUAACACAAUGCUUGGAUAUAGUCAGUGCUCAUGUGGUAACUGCCCUUAACAUUAUUAAGCCCACAUAAUUCUCUUCUUUUUUGUAAGCAGUUGAGAUCUUUAGGUUGAAGAUUCAAUAUACAAUGUAACAGAGUCAGAGGGUGGGUGGCAAAAGGUACAUACAUACUGCAGGGCAGGGACUUGGAGUAUGGAAUGGAGAAAUAGCAGAGGACAUCUUCCAGCUGCAGUUGGGAUGGGUGCUGAGCUACAAAGCUACUAGAGAAAUAGGAAACUCAGGUCUCAUCAUUGCAGGGACCCUUGUUUCCUGCAAAGAAUCCUUGGAGAAAUCUCUCCCACUGUCUCUGGGCAUUGUAUUCAGAAAUGUCUGGCCUGGAUGAUAGUCUUCCUGCUUUUGGCCUCACCCUCUAUCCACUGUCCUCUGCUGAAUCUUUCUAAAAUGCUUGCUUAAAACUCCUUAUCUCCUUCAGGAGAAAGUUAAAUCCUUUACCACACAAGGCCAUUACCUGGGGGCCCUUUCUAACUCCUCCCACCUCAAUUUUGUCCUCUUUCUGCAGGUAUCUAAGUGUCAUGAUUUAGAUGUCCUGGCAUGCACUGUGCUCUUUUUCUGGAAGCCUCUUUUCUUUCUUCAUCCAACUACCUCCUCUUCUUCCUUCAAGACUCAGCUGAGACUCUCUUGAGCAAAUUUUCCAAGACUCCUUAAGGGGAAGGACCUGGUCCAAGUUGACUUGGUGUCUCCGUCAUCAAGCACAAUGCCUGGUUCACAAUGGACUCUUCAUGCAUCUCUUUCUAUAACAUGAGAAGGAUCAGAGGGUGAGGAUUGGAGCUGGGUGUCUUAAAAAUCUGUGAGAGUCGAAGCUAAGCCAGUGAUGUUUGCUUUGUAGCUAUUCUUGUGAUAUUACAAUCCUUCAGAGUGGUGAGGUUGGUGGGAGUGGUAAAAACAAACAAACAAACAAACAAACAAAACCUAGUUUCUUUGUCUUGGAUUUUCCUGUCUCAGUUUAUAGAGAGAGACUAUCCAUCAUAUUUUAUUUUAGCUUAACCAAAGUUUUACUUUUUGUUGUUUCUUUUUUUCUUUGCUGGGAUCUUAAAAGAGAUUGAAUAAAAAUUCAGUUGUAGGAAUGGCUUUACCUUCCUCUCUGGUCUUGGUGUUUUGUUUUUAGACUAUGAUAUCACAUGUCAAGACUAUGAUAUCAUAUCAGGACUGGGAUAUCAAGUUUAUAAUAGAACAAUAAUUAUGUAUUAUUUAAACUUAUUUUCAUCAAACUAUAACUAAUACACAAUGGAUUUUUUAAUGGUAUAUACAGAUAUUUAAAAUUUGAAAUAAUUUUAGAUUUAUAGAAAAGUUACAACGAUACUAUAGCAAGUUCCAAGAAAUCCCUUCUCAGUUUCAGUUUUUCUUAAAUUUUGUUGUUGUUGUUGAGACGGAAUCUCGUUCGGUCUCCAGGCUGGAGUGUGGUGGCACGAUCUCGGCUCACUGCAACCUCCACCUCCUUGGUUCUAGCAAUUCUCCUGCCUCAGCCCCCUAAGUAGCUGGCACUACAGGCACGUGUCACCUCACAGCUAAUUUUUUUAUUUUUAGUAGAGACGAGGUUUCACUAUGUUGGUGGUCAAGACCACCAGGCUGGUCUUGAACUUCUGACCUCGUGAUCUGCCCACCUCGGCCUCCCAAAGUGCUGGGAUUACAGGUGUCAGCCAUUGUGCCCGGCUUCUUUAAUGUUAAAAAAAAAUGUUAAUGUCUUUGUCACAACUUUGGAAACUAUUAAGUGCAUUCCAAAUUUUAUUUGAAUUUCACCAGUUUUUCUACUAAUGUCUUUUUCCUGUCCAGGAUUCAAUCCAGAGUUUCAUGUUGCAUUUAUUCUCACGUUUCUGUAGUCUCUUCUGGUAUGGAACAAUUUCUCCAUCUUUCCUUAUUUUUCAUGAUCUUGAUAGUUUUGAGGGGUACUGGUUAGGGAUUUUGUAGAAGUGGACUUGGUGAUUAGAACCUAGGUCUGGCCGCCUACCCAUCACAGUAUCAGUAAAAGCCUCCCUUGAAAUUUACCAAUGGCAUGAACAUUUCAGAUGAGUCUGCCAUCUUUGGUCCUAGAGACCUGUCUUGGAGACAGAGACCUCACAGACUCAGAGAUUCAGGUGCUUUUUCUGGUAAUGAUUUUUGUCUGUGGGCUGAUUACAAAGGUGGAUGAGACUUUGGCCAAAGCUAAGGCUGCAGGGUCUGGGCUAAAAAAUUCCAGAAAAACUACCUUGCCAUGGGAGGCUGAGUUCCAAAUCACAGCCUGUGUGCAGCCUGCUUUACCAAAUAAUGAGGCACUGGGUGCUUUUUAAGGCAGCUGACCUUUGGAGCAAAUUAUCCAAGGAAAUCUGAUUAGCUAGUUCACUGGGUUCCUGCAAAAUGGAGCUUGGUGUAUUUCUGCAGCAGAAAUGUCAGCAUAAUUGGAGUUUCUGGAGCUCAAAGAGCUUCUUUCUUAUUGUUUCCAUCCUUUGGAGGAAAAAAAAAAACCCCAAAAAACAAAACCCAAACCCCCAAAGAAUUGUUCUUUGACUUAUAUUCUUUGCUUUUGCACAUGGUUCAGAAGCUGCUCCUGACUGUGUUUACGACUUUAUUAAUCAGGGGAACAGCCCGAACAUCAUUUAAACAAACAAGGCCAAAAAAAAAAAAAAAAAAAAAAAUCCAUCCCCAAACAGAUGAUGUGAGCUUAAUAGAGAUGGCCAAGCCAAAGACCUUAAAUAAAUAAACUGACUUUAAUUUGUAGGAAGGAGCAUGGGGUGGUCAUUACUUGAGGCUGUGUGCCAUGCGAUGUAACCAAAUUUGAAACUCGCUAAUUUCAUUAUUUUAAUGGAAGUCUGCCUCCCAUUCAUUAGGCUGACAUAUGACUAGCCAUUAGUAACAGUCCACUUCCAAAGCUAUGGUGGAUAAAGGGUGAUUGGAAAUGAGCGAGGGCCAGGCCUGGUGGAGGCUGGCAAUUUCAGAAGGGAACUGGUGGGUGGGAUUUAUGCAAGAGGCAGGGAACACAACUAGGAAAAUUGUCAAUGUGGAUGGAGGCAGCAAACCAUUGAGUCCAAAUACAGGCUUGAGAGACCUGGGUUUGAAUUCUGGUUCUGCCACAUACUGGCUGUGUGACCUUGGGCAAGUUAUACCCCCGCACUGAGCUUCAGUUUGCUCAUCUGUGAGAUGGGAGUAAUCAUAGUUCCUAUCUCAUAGGGUUGCUUGCGAUGACUCAAUGAGGCAAAUUCUUAGGAGGCUCUAGUAUAGGGCUUGGCAAAAGUAACCACUUAAUAAAUGGUAGCUAUGAUGAUAACGUUGGCCAAAGUCCCCAGUAUUUAGGGACUUGGAGAUUUUGCUAAUGAAGAAACGAAGGCUGACAGAAAUAAAGUAAGGUAUCCAAGUUUGCCCCAAACUUGGACUCAAAUUUCUGACUCUUAAUCCUAUACUCUUAAAAUCCUAUACUCUUAAAAAAAAUCCUAUACUCUUAGUCCUAUGCUCUUAAAACCCGUAUUUUAAAAAUUGUUUCAUUUCUUGAACAGGCCAGUCAUUCAUAUGAUUGAAAAAUUUAAAAACAAGAGUAUGCUAGAAUAGUCAGUGAAAAUUGUCCCUUCUGCCCGGAACAUUUCCUGUUCACAGACAGCCAUUGUUACGUGUUUCUUCUUUAUCUUUGCAGAAUUUCAGGUACGUACAAGCAAAUACAAAUGUAUAUGCACUUCUUUUUUUUUUUAUUACACAGACAGUUCUGUAUCCUGCCUUUUAAAACUUAUAUCCUUCUUAUCUUUCUGUAUCAGGGUAUAGUGAGUUCUUUCAUUCUUACUUAUAAUUAUAUGUUUUUCUAUUAUAAUGGAUAUAUUAUGUCUUAUUUAAUUAUUUCUCUCUUGAUGAACAGUUGGGAAAGUUCUCAUCUUUUGCUAUUACAAACCACAAUGCGAUGAAUAACAUUGCAUGUAUGUCAUUGUGUACAGGUGUGCGUAUAUUCUAGGAUAAAUUUCCAAAAGUAGAAUUGCUGAGUUACAGGGUAAAUGCAUUUCUGAUUUUGAUAGUGCUCAAAGGUCCGGGGACACAUAGAGAUGGUGCUUUAGCAGUGAGCUUAGGCUGACAGCGGUUAAGAGAGACAUGCCUCAGGUUGCCAGUUAAAAAAAAAAUCUGCAUAAUGUGUUGCUUAAAGAAUGUGGUAAGGUGAAAGCUUGGAAAUACUGGUGUCAUUGGAAAGACAGAAAUAAGACAGAGAUUGUGUUGGGAAGAGAACAUGGAAUUUCAAGUAAUUUCUGCCUGGGUUUGCAUCUUGACCCUGCCACUCCUGGCUAUAUGACCUUGGGCAGGUUGCUUCACAUCUCUGAGCUCAGUAUUCUCACCUGUAAAAUAAAGACCAUGAUAACUUCCAUUAUAGGCUGCUGGAGGAAGUAAAGAAGAAAAUAUAAACAGCAGUUAGCAUGAUGUCUGGCACAUGGUGUGCAUUCAGGAUAUAACUGGGGCCUUUGGGAACCAGGCAAUAUUCCAGACAAACAUGACAUCAGUAACAUCCAUAUGUCUGUGAUGGGGUAGGAGAGAAGACUACUUUUCAGGUGGGACAUUUUGAUUGGAGAGGGUCUCUGAUUCAGAGAGUGAGGUGAGCUAUUUUCUUCUUGGGAGUUCUUGGCAUUUGAUAAUCCUUGGUGUUUAUUUCAAAUUAUGGAAGAAUUUGAGAUUUACUUAGACAUCUUGGCAUGCAGCGCUAAACCUCAGACUUCCUGAAUUUAUUUACCAGCUAGGGGAAGCAUAUUCCCCACUUUAAUUUUAUUUACAAAGGGCUCUAGUCUGGUGUGAAGUCUGAAGGCAUAUUUGUUGUAGGAGUUACUCAAUUAGCCAGCGAGAAAAGAACAAAGGAAAAGUCAUUAUGCAGAUGUAUGCCCAUUCAAAGCUAUUCCGCCUCUAGAUGCUUUCUUCGUAGUGAAUGGAGGAACUCCAGUCUGCAAGUCUCUCGUCUCUGCUGUGUUUUCUGCUAAUUCUCUUCUAAUAUUAGGCCAUGAAUGAUUAAUAAUAUUGCAUUUUGACACUGUUAGAUUUUGUCAAUUUUUUUCAAUAUAAAAGCAGAUAAUUACAGAUUACUUUAACAUCCAGGAAGUGAAAUCAACCAUGAAUUACACUCAGACUCAUCCACAACCCCUUGAAUAUAUUUCUUUUUUUUUUUCAAUGGGAGAUUGAAGUUUCUUUCUUUAGUCAUUUACACAAGUCAUGUCUGACAAUUGAGAAAAUGCUGUUCACAUAAAACAUCAUAAAUUAAAAAUAUACAGUGUUUGUAUUUUAAUACAAUAGGGUCCCAGGAUUCAAACAAAGAAUUCUGAUCUCAGAGGUUGCAUUAUGUAGUUAUGUGUUCUGCUUUAAAGCGCUAUACUGGAGGUGAACUUGAAACUGCCUUUGCAGAAAUUAUAACUGAGGAAAUUAUGACAAUGAAGGAGAUCAGACCUAACCAGCUACAGCUUGCAUCUAAUCUUAAAGCUAUCCUUAUUCAUUCCUGGGCAUAGGCCGAAAUAACCUUGGGAAGGAAUUUAGUUUACAGUUUGACUCUGAAACAAAAUUGAUAAUAGCCCUUUCCUGAAAAGACCCCCUUCUUGCCCGGUGACCAGUCUGCCUUUGUAGGACUAACAAAUUGGCUACAAGAUUGGAAAUUAUGGUUUAGGGGUCAUGCAGCCCCUGACUCCAAGAGUCUGAACCUCCCCAGAUUGCUCCUAGGGAUAGCAUCAUUAUUGUAAAACUGAAGAUCAAUGCUUGAGAUAUCUUGCAAACCCUGCACUCAGUGGAUCAGCUGACACCACCCAGACUGGUAACUUGGCUCCCAGUUCUGCCAUCCCACCCAGGAACAGAAGACCACAAGAAAACCUCACUUCCACCCCCUAUGAUACCAUCUCCAACCUGACCAAUCAGCACCACUUCCUGGGCCGCUACCCACCAAAGUAUCUCUAAAAACUCUGAUCCCCAAAUGCUCCAGGAAGGCUGAUUUGAAUAAUAAUAAAACUCAGGUCUCCCACACACGUGGCUCCGUGUGAAUUACUGUUUUUCCACUGCAAUUCCCCCAUCUUGCUAAAUUGGCUCUGUCUAGGCAGGGGGCCAGGUGAACGCAUUGGAUGGUAUAUUUCUCAAGAGUCAAAUAUUAAUAGGUUUCACAUGUAAGACUUACGUAUGUGUGUGUGUGUGUUUACAUACACAUAUAUUUCAAUAGCUUUUGGGGUUCAAGUGGUUUUUGGUUACAUGGAUGAAUUAUAAAUUAUAUAGUGGUAAAGUCUAAGAUUUUAGUACCUGUCACCUGAGUAGUGUACACUGUACCCAAUAUGUAGUUUUUGUAUCCUUCAUUCCCUUUUCAUCCUCUCCUCUUCUGAGUCUCCAGUGUCCAUUAUAUCACUCUGUAUGCCUUUAUGUACCUAUGGCUUAGUUCCCACUUAUAAGUGAGCAUAUAUGGUAUUUGGUUUUCCAUUCCUGAGUUAUUUCACUUAGAAUAACGGCCUCCAGCUCCAUCCAAGUUGCUGCAAUGACAUUAUUAUAUUAUUAUUUUUUCAUGGCUGAGUAGUAUUCCAUGGUGUAUAUGUACACACAUUUUCUUUAUCCACUCAUUGGUCAAUGAGCACUUAGGUUGGUUUCAUAUCUCGACAAUUGUGAAUCCUAAAUUUUACAUGCAAGGUUUUGCAUCUGUAGAGGAAGACAGGAUUCUCAGUGCAUGUGCCAAUUUUUGGGUUUUCCACUUGAGAAUCUUCACCAGUUUCCUCUUCAGAAUCAAAUUCCUGACUAUCUGGUGCUUCAAAGUUAUCCAGAGGUUCAUCAUUCAGUCUCUGGGUUGCCUCUGUCAUAUACUGUACUCUGCCGCUUUUGCCAAUUGCUUACUCUCCUUUUCCAAGUGGUCAAUUUCAUUGUUCUUUCUUCAAUUUCUCUGUGAAGCUUCUCAUUUUCCUUAAGUGUUUCAUAGAGGGUGUUCCUUUGUUCUGCGACUUCUCUCCAAUAUUGAGGGGAUAAAUUUCAUUUAAUCCUAAGAUCAAAUGCUUCUUGGGUGACUCCUCCAAGGAUUUAAUUGUCACUCUAUUCUGGGACAAUGACAACUCUAGAGUGGGAAGUCCUGGCUGUCAACUGGUCAUUCCAAUGCUUCCUCUUGGAUAUGUUUUGGGCCAGUCACUUUUUUUUUUUUUUUUCCCAACAAGAGAUCUGGCUGUGGAAGGAUGAAUCAUCUUCAGAGUUCUUCUUGGGGAGAAACUGUUCUUUACAUUCUCUUUGAUUCUUCCUUGUUUCUACUUUAUCCUAGGAUUCAUUAUACAGCUGGUAAAGCACAAAAGAUGGGAGGAGAGGAUUAAUGAUCAUAGUGAAUUCAGGUGGCUGUGGCACAGCCAACCUACAUUGAUCCCCACUGUCGCUGGAGUGGCUGGGGCACACUGCUGAAAAGACUUACUCCUCUGGAACAUACUCCUUUGAGUCGUUUUUGUAUAUGUAAUUUUGCAUAUUUUUUUCUUUUUUUAUUAUUAUACUUUAAGUUUUAGGGUACACGUGCACAACAUGCAGGUUAGUUAUGUAUGUAUACAUGUGCCAUGUUGGUGUGCUGCACCCAUUAACUCGUCGUUUAGCAUUAGGUAUACUUUUAAUCGUAGUGCCAUACAAUUGUAUUGCAUUUUCCAUUUAUAGCAUAUUAUAAUUAUUUUGACUUUUAUUAUGAAAUUUUCAAACAGAAAAGUAGAUAGUAUAAUAAAAUAAAAAGUAUAUAUAUAACAAGUAUGUCGGCUGGGUGUGGUGGCUCAUGCCUUUAAUCCCAGCACUUUGGGAGGCUGAGGCAGGCAGAUCACUUGAGGUCAGGAGUUCGAGACCAGCCUGGCCAACAUGGUGAAACGCUAUCUCUACUAAAAAUAAAAAAAAUUAGCUGGGUUUGGUGGUGGGUGCCCGUAAUCCCAUCUACUCAAGAGGCUGAGGCAGGGGAAUCACUUGAACCUGGGAGGUGGAGGUUGCAGUGAGCCAAGAUCAUGCCACUGCACUCCAGCCUGGGCAACAGAGCAAGACUCCAUCUAAAAAAAAAUUAUAUAUAUAACAAGUAUGUAAACAAAAUACAUAAGUAAAAGGUAGAAUAAAAAAAGAUAGCAUAAUACACACCCAUGUAUUUAUCGCUUAGAAUUAACACUAAUAUUAUAUUUUCUUUGUGCAUUUUUUCUUAAGUGGUUCAAAAGGAAGUACAGACAUCAUGAUAUUAAACCCUAAAUCAGUGGCUCUCAACUGAGGGUAAUUUUGACCCAUGUCCUCCGCAAGAGGACUUUUGGCACUGUCUGGAGACAAUGUUGGUUGUCACAAAAGGAAGCAUGCCUGCAUCCCUGGUAGAGAUCAGGGAUGUUACUAAACAUGCUACAAUGCACAGGACUGCCCCCUCCAAAACAAAGAAUUACCUGGUUCUAAAUGCCAGUAGUGCUAAGGUUGAAAACCUUUGGUCUAAAUGAUUAAGAAUGCGUUUCUUAAAAUGCAAAAUUUCACAUAACCGCAUAGCACCAUCACUUCUAACAAAGUGAAAAAUAACUCUUUAAAAUUGUCUAAUAACCAGUCCAUGUUUCUCCACCAUUCCACUAAAAUGUUUUUUACAGCUGGUUUUAGCAAACACUUUCCAUUUUAUUAGCACUGUUAAUAGAAUCUCAUUCUAAAUGACUACAGAAGAGUCUGUUCAAUGGAUUCCCUGAAAUUUAUUCAAAGGAUCUAUUUUUAGAUACUAGUUUUGCUUCCAGGUUUUAGACAAAUUAUAUUUUUGUAAAUAAUGACAGUUUACUUCUUUUCUUACUUUGUGCCUUUUCUUUCUUUUAUUUGCCUUAUGUUCUGGCUAAAAACUUCAGUGAAUACUGAACACAGCGUAUGAGAGUGGGCAUCCUUUUGUUGUUCCAGAUUUUAGGAGCAAAAGAUUUAAUAUUUUAUUAAUUAUGAUAUUAACUGUAGGUUUUUAAAGAUGAACCUUAUCAUAUUGGAGAUGUUCCCAUCUAUUCCUAGUUUCACUGAGCGUUUUUAUCAUAAAGAACUAAUGAUUUCUGUCAAAUUUUUUUUCUGUGUAUUUUGAAAUGAUCAAAUGGUUUUCCCUGUUACUCUGUUAUAGUAUGAUGAAUUAUAUUGAUUGAAUUUCAUUAAACCAACCUUGCUUUCUUGGAAUAAA